rnacentral:lncRNA from 1 species
UCUUCUCUUACAUAUUACAUUUUAUAUCUGGACAUCAUUAAUUUUCCCUAUUCUUCCCUUUCGUUUCCAACUCAACUUUUUAUGGUUUUCUGAAAUACCCAUCUCAGUUGCAAUAGUAUUCGUCCUAGCUUUUGUUGUUUCCCAACGCUGUUCAAUUUUUGCGAAUAAAGCUUUAAGAUCUGUACUACCAGAUUCAAUUAAUUCAAGACUUCCCUGAUUAUUUGCCUUGCUAUUUUCGGACUUGCUAGAUAUCCUCGCAUGUCCCAGAUCUGUUGGUGUUAUUACGUUUUGUAGUUUGUUCUGCCAUUGUUGUGUCGCCAUCUGCUCUUUACAUGUGAUGAUAUCUUCUACCAAAUUAAUUUUUGAUGUGUCUCAUUCUUCCUUUUCCCCAGUAUAUAAGCACUGUUCCGUAAAUUUUUU